GUGAAGUUGAUCACAUGCAAACAUUUACCCCUUUUGUUUGGACGUGAAAAAUUUCUCCCAUCCCCUUUGUUUGUAUAAAACCCGAAAAAGCCGUGCGUAUGAACUGCAUGGUUUUUUC
rnacentral:sRNA from 2 species